AACCUUACGUGGUGCUGAAGCCUCAUUGAUCACAGAGUACGAGCUCCCAGGGCGGGCGUUGCACUGCGCUUGCGUUGACCCCUACCACGGCCCCAAACUGGGGAAGAUGGGGUGUGCAAUUUGCUUAAGUCCGGUUCAGCGCAAGAGAAGGUGUCACCGGC
rnacentral:snRNA from 1 species